UACAGAGACCACAAGCGUUACUCGGAUUCACUGGGCGUAAAGGGUGCGUAGGCGGUUAGAUGUGUCAGGUGUGAAAUUCCGGGGCUCAACCUCGGAGCUGCGCCUGAAAACUAUUUAGCUAGAGUGUCGGAGGGGUAAGCGGAAUUCCAGGUGUAGCAGUGAAAUGCAUAGAUAUCUGGAGGAACACCUAUGGCGAAGGCAGCUUACUGGACGAUAACUACGCUGAGGCACGAAAGCGUGGGGAGCAAAAAGG
rnacentral:rRNA from 1 species